rnacentral:lncRNA from 1 species
AUCUUUUAUUGUAUUUAGAUUCUUCAUUAUGCUCACAUAGCGGAUCCAUUGUAUGAAUUUUUAUGCAAAGGUUAUCCAUUUAAAUGGAAAGAAAAGCAUGUUAAAGUAGUGCAAAGAUUAAAGAAAUUAUUGAUAUUGCCUCUAAUGUUGAGAAAAGUUAACUAUAAGUACAAUAGAUCAGUGAUUCUUAUUAAGGAUAC